GGGCAGUUAAGGGAAACCUUAUCGUCAUUUUCCCCUGGGAGGGAGGAUACUGGGGACAUAUGUCUUACCUUUUAAACUGCCCAGUACGAAGUUACGCCUCUGCCCUCACUUGGGACCUGGUUUGAGACAAGCUCUUCCGGAGCACUGCGCAUAGCUCACUUUCUUGAGCAACCCUGUGUCCCCGCACCCCGCUCCUCUUCUUUCGGGUUCUAGGCAGCCGUGGGCGCUGCGACCCUUCUCUCACUGUCAGAGGGGCGGGAGCUCUCGGCCUGCGCCGCCUCCGCUGCCUGCUUGGUCGCGGGCUUGCCGGGAAUGGUGACAGCCCGGGCCCCCUCUUGGCCAAAGAAGUCCUCGAAAGCGUUCGGCGCACGGGCUUUGUCCAGCUUUUUAAACCGUAACAAGGACCGGGGCCGGGCGCGGUGGCUCACGCCUGUAAUCCCAGCAUUUUGGGAAGUCGAGGCGGACGGAUUACUUGAGGUCAUGAGUUCGAGACCAGCCUGGCCAACACGAUGGAGUCUUGCUCCCAUGCUGGAGUGCAGUGGCGUGAUCUCGGCUGACUGUAACCUCCGCCUCCCGGGUUCAAGUGAUUCUCCUGCCUCAGCCUCCGGAGUAGCUGGGAUUACAGCAAAGAUAUCCAGACGCUGUAUGCAGGAAGAACUGAAUUUCAGAGGACACCGUUUGAUCUUCAACACCUGGCAGUUUACAAAACAGCCUGAAGAGGAGAGGGGGAAUCCUGGUGAGAAGCAUUUGGAAUUCAAGCUCAGAGAAGAAGACACGGUAUUUCUGGCUGAAUCACAUUUCCUGCAUGCCUGCACACUCCUACUCACCUUUCAAGGCACAGUUCUAAUGCCUUACCCCCUGCCAGGUGCUACUCUGCCUUCCUUCUAGUGAUUUCUCUGGGUUACCAAAGGUCUUGCAUAUUUCUCUAUUAAAGCAUUGAUUAAAAGCCA
ensembl:lncRNA LINC02739 long intergenic non-protein coding RNA 2739